rnacentral:rRNA from 1 species
AGCAGCCGCGGUAAUUCCAGCUCCAAUAGCGUAUAUUAAAGUUGUUGCAGUUAAAAAGCUCGUAGUUGAAUUUCGGGAUCAAUACGUCGGUCGUGCUUUCGGGUACGUACUGGCGUCAUUGGUUUCUCCUUUCUGACGAACCAUGAUGUCAUUAAUUUGGUGUUAUGGGGAGUUAGGACUGUUACUUUGAAAAAAUUAGAGUGUUUAAAGCAGGCAUUAGCUUGAAUACAUUAGCAUGGAAUAAUGAAAUAGGACGUUCGAUCCUAUUUUGUUGGUUUCUAGGAUUGACGUAAUGAUUAAUAGGGAUAGUUGGGGGCAUUAGUAUUCAAUUGUCAGAGGUGAAAUUCUUGGAUUUAUUGAAGACUAACUACUGCGAAAGCAUUUGCCAAGGAUGUUUUCAUUAAUCAAGAACGAAAGUUAGGGGAUCGAAGACGAUCAGAUACCGUCGUAGUCUUAACCAUAAACUAUGCCGACUAGGGAUCGGAUGAUGUUAAUUUUUAAUGACUCAUUCGGCGCCUUA